AUUGAACGCUGGCGGCAUGCUUUACACAUGCAAGUCGAACGGCAGCGCGGGCUUCGGCCUGGCGGCGAGUGGCGAACGGGUGAGUAAUGCAUCGGAACGUGCCCAGUAGUGGGGGAUAGCCCGGCGACAGCCGGAUUAAUACCGCAUACGACCUGAGGGUGAACGCGGGGGACCGAAAGGCCUCGCGCCAUUGGAGGGGCCGAUGUCGGAUUAGCUAGUUGGUGGGGUAAAGGCUUACCAAGGCGACGAUCCGUAGCUGGUCUGAGAGGACGACCAGCCACACUGGGACUGAGACACGGCCCAGACUCCUACGGGAGGCAGCAGGGGGGAAUUUUGGACAAUGGGGGCAACCCUGAUCCAGCCAUGCCGCGUGCGGGAAGAAGGCCUUCGGGUUGUAAACCGCUUUUGUGCGGGAAGAAAUCCUCUGGGCUAAUACCCCGGGGGAUGACGGUACCGUAAGAAUAAGCACCGGCUAACUACGUG
rnacentral:rRNA from 1 species